UUUAGAGGAACCUGCCCUGUGAACGAUGAGCCACGAAAACCUUACUUUUGUUAGUAUCCAGUUUGUAUACCGCUGUUGUCAGUCAGUUUCUUUAGAAAACUUUCGUUUAUGAUUUUAUCAUUGACUUCAAGUAAAGGUGCAGCUAAUACAAAAGAUAGAGGUGGGUUACAUUUAUAAGAAUAAAACGGAUGAAGUUCGUGAAAAGUCUUUUGAAGGUGGAUUUAAUUGUAAAGUUUAAGUAAACUUGAUGGGAGC
rnacentral:rRNA from 1 species